AUUGAACGCUGGCGGCAGGCCUAACACAUGCAAGUCGAGCGGAUGAAGAGAGCUUGCUCUCUGAUUCAGCGGCGGACGGGUGAGUAAUGCCUAGGAAUCUGCCUGGUAGUGGGGGACAACGUUUCGAAAGGAACGCUAAUACCGCAUACGUCCUACGGGAGAAAGUGGGGGAUCUUCGGACCUCACGCUAUCAGAUGAGCCUAGGUACGAUUAGCUAGUUGGUGAGGUAAAGGCUCACCAAGGCGACGAUCGUUAACUGGUCUGAGAGGAUGAUCAGUCACACUGGAACUGAGACACGGUCCAGACUCCUACGGGAGGCAGCAGUGGGGAAUAUUGGACAAUGGGCGAAAGCCUGAUUCAGCCAUGCCGCGUGUGUGAAGAAGGUCUUCGGAUUGUAAAGCACUUUAAGUUGGGAGGAAGGGCAGUAAGUUAAUACCUUGCUGUUUUGACGUUACCGACAGAAUAAGCACCGGCUAACUUCGUGCCAGCGGCCGCCGUAACAC
rnacentral:rRNA from 1 species